UAAACUAAAGCAUGUUGUUGUGUUUUUGGGAUGAUUUCUUUGAUUAUAAUGCCGUUGCUGUCCGUCGUCUACAAGUACGAAUGUCACAAUCGGAAAUCACAUCAAAUCCAAGUGAACAGCCAGUCGGAGAUUGAGUGAAAAUUUCAGGCAGACUGCAGGCAUUUUGAGGUUUACUGCUGGACAGAGAAAAUUUCCACUUGGAAAGUUCUACAAGGGUGGUUGCCAAGCUAUCUGUGACACAGGGACAUCUGUUUUGAACCGACAUGGAAUAGAUUCUAAGCUUGAUGGGAGCUGCACCUCCUGGCGUUCUCGUCAAAGUAAUGAAAACCAAGAUGGGAGAGACACUUUGCCUGAGUGGAUUCAUCAGAAUGGACAUCCCUUAACCCCUUGGCGCUCUUUGGAUCCUUGGUGACAUCUUUGUUAGCAAUUACUACUCCAAAUUUGAUCAAGUGAACAACCCGUGCAGGUUUUGCUGAUGCUGUCAAGGGUGUGGAAGUUAAGGCUGAGUAUAAAAAACCUGCUUUGUAAUUUGGAAAAAAAAACUAUUUUUGAGUAAGGAUUGAUUGGCCAAACAAAAAUAUAAUCAUGUUUUCACUAUGGGUAUAAUGUCUGAAUAAUGGCAAAAUUACCUUCUUUUUAAUUACUUACUCUUUUUUUGUGUAAUGAGAAACAUAACUUUUUUGUGUCUGGCACAUUUAUUAAAAAAAUAUUGGCCAAAUGUUACCCAAAUUCAGUGUAACAUUAUGUUUUGUUUGGCCAACUGUGGAAAAAAAAACAUAAAACUAUAUUUUGUUUGCCAAACUUAAAAAAGAGAGGGGCAAAGAAAUGUUGCCCACCUGUGUAAAUACCCAAAUUUAGUGUAACCUUAUGUUUUUGUUUGGCCAACUGUGGUAGAAAAACAUGCUGGCCUACCUCCUAUACUAACCUAUUUUCAGUAACAAGGCAAAAUUAUCUCUUUAAGUUUUUUUGCAUAACUUUGGAAAAAAAACAGGGGGCAAAGAAAUGUUGCCCACCUGUGUACUUACCCUUUUUUCGGGGUAAUGGGAAACAUAACUUUAUUUUUGUUUGACCCACAUUUUACCCAAUAUAAGUGUCACAUUAUUAUGUGUUUGUUUGACCCAACAACUACAAUCAAACUAGUUUAAUGUAAGAAGUAGGCUACCUCUAAUUGUUUGGUCCAACUUUGAAAAAAAACAAAAACAUGCUGCCCAUCCACCCACCUACCCAUUUUAAGAGGAAUCUUUUUAUUUGGCCAAACUUUGAAGAAGAAAAAAGUUUUGUGUAAUAGGGAACAUUAUUAUAUUUUUGUUUGGCCAUCUCGACUGUGAACAAACUGUAUGUACUAUAUACUUUUAGUCGGAGUAAGAGGAAACAUGGCUAUUGUCUGGCCCAACUGUGAAUAAAAAACUCUUUGGAGGUGAAACAAAGAAAGAGUGACUAUCUAUUGGGGCACUGUUAAAAAUAAACAGAUAUGAACGAGAAAAAUGACAUUGAACAUGUUGCCCACCUUUCAAGCUAUUUUUACAAUGAGAAACUUUAUUUUCUCAAAAUAAAACAUUUUGCCUACCCAUUUAUUUCAAUGUACAUAUUAACAGAAAACAUGACUUCAGUUUUGUUUGGCCCGAGUGUGUGACCAUCAAUGUGUUGAAAACUCACAGGUUGUUUGAAACUGUAGGAUGGUUACUUUAUUACUUGACUCCCAAAACAAUUUUAUUAAAACAUUUGUUUAUCUUUCAAUAAACUGAAUGUUAAAGGGACUGGAC